rnacentral:lncRNA from 1 species
CAAACCCAACCAGUUUUGAUCUUCUGCAGGUACAGCAUCGCCAAUCUCCAUGUCGUCAACAGGUAAUCCCUUGCUUCCUUCGGAUGAUCUGACAGUGUUAUUCCUUUGCAAACAUGGCUCGGACCUUUGGCCAUCAUCGGAUUCAAUAGCUGUACCCGAAUGAUUACUACGCAAUGUUGCAGAUGAGAAGGCUUGUUCGUCACAGUCAGAUUCAGAGUCCAUCCUCCUGUCCAAAAAUAAGCAGACGACUGCACAGUCAUCCAUUUUCGAGGUAGGGUAUUUGAGUUUCCAUUCACGAGCAGCUGAGUCCACCACGGACCUCGCAGCUGAU